GAUGAACGCUGGCGGCGUGCUUAACACAUGCAAGUCGAACGGUGAACACGGAGCUUGCUCUGUGGGAUCAGUGGCGAACGGGUGAGUAACACGUGAGCAACCUGCCCCUGACUCUGGGAUAAGCGCUGGAAACGGCGGCUAAUACUGGAUAUGUGACGUGACCGCAUGGUCUGCGUUUGGAAAGAUUUUUCGGUUGGGGAUGGGCUCGCGGCCUAUCAGCUUGUUGGUGAGGUAAUGGCUCACCAAGGCGUCGACGGGUAGCCGGCCUGAGAGGGUGACCGGCCACACUGGGACUGAGACACGGCCCAGACUCCUACGGGAGGCAGCAGUGGGGAAUAUUGCACAAUGGGCGCAAGCCUGAUGCAGCAACGCCGCGUGAGGGAUGACGGCCUUCGGGUUGUAAACCUCUUUUAGCAGGGAAGAAGCGAAAGUGACGGUACCUGCAGAAAAAGCGCCGGCUAACUACGUG
rnacentral:rRNA from 1 species